UGGGGAAUUUUGGACAAUGGGGGCAACCCUGAUCCAGCAAUGCCGCGUGUGUGAAGAAGGCCUUCGGGUUGUAAAGCACUUUUGUCCGGAAAGAAAACGUCGUGGUUAAUACCCGUGGCGGCUGACGGUACCGGAAGAAUAAGCACCGGCUAACUACGUGCCAGCAGCCGCGGUAAUACGUAGGGUGCAAGCGUUAAUCGGAAUUACUGGGCGUAAAGCGUGCGCAGGCGGUCCGCUAAGACAGAUGUGAAAUCCCCGGGCUUAACCUGGGAACUGCAUUUGUGACUGGCGGGCUAGAGUAUGGCAGAGGGGGGUAGAAUUCCACGUGUAGCAGUGAAAUGCGUAGAGAUGUGGAGGAAUACCGAUGGCGAAGGCAGCCCCCUGGGCCAAUACUGACGCUCAUGCACGAAAGCGUGGGGGAGCAAACAGGAUUAGAUACCCUGGUAGUCCACGCCCUAAACGAUGUCAACUAGUUGUCGGGUCUUCAUUGACUUGGUAACGUAGCUAACGCGUGAAGUUGACCGCCUGGGGAGUACGGUCGCAAGAUUAAAACUCAAAUGAAUUGACGGGGUCAUAGCUGUUUCCUG
rnacentral:rRNA from 1 species